rnacentral:rRNA from 1 species
UACGUAGGUGGCAAGCGUUGUCCGGAUUUAUUGGGCGUAAAGGGAGCGCAGGCGGUGACUUAAGUCUGAUGUGAAAGCCCACGGCUCAACCGUGGAAGGUCAUUGGAAACUGGGUCACUCGAAUAUAGAAGAGGAAAGUGGAAUUCCAUGUGUAGCGGUGAAAUGCGUAGAUAUAUGGAGGAACACCAGUGGCGAAGGCGGCUCUCUGGACUGUAACUGACACUGAGGCACGAAAGCGUGGGGAGCAAACAGGAUUAGAUA